GUGGUCUUAGUUUAAUGGUAGAACAGUCGGUUUCCACCCGACAGAUAUGGGUUCAACUCCCUUAGACCAUA
rnacentral:tRNA from 1 species